rnacentral:rRNA from 1 species
UACGAGUGGUGCAAGCGUUAUUCGGAAUCACUGGGCGUAAAGGGUGUGUAGGCGGCAAAUCAAGUCUGUUGUAAAACUAUCUCAGCUUAACUGGGAGUGUGCGAUGGAAACUGGUUUGAUAGAGGGUGAAAGAGGGAAGUGGAAUUCUCGGAGUAGCGGUAAAAUGCGUAGAUAUCGAGGGGAACACCGAUGGCGAAGGCAGCUUCUUGGUUCACACCUGACGCGUGAUACGACGAAAGCGGUGGGGAGCAAACAGG